AUGAUCUCAAUCAACACACCUGCUGAUAAAAUGAAUGUACUCUCCAACCUAUUAGGCUGCAAGAUUGGUACACUGCCCCACACCUACCUUGUACUGCCACUGUGUCUCACAAAGCCUAGAGUGGAAGACUUCAUACCAAUGUUGAACAGAAUUGAGAAUAGAUUGCUGAGUUGCUCUACAAUGCUAUCAUCUGGAGAUAAAUUGACCCUUAUUAAGUCCAUUUUCACCAGUAUGCCUACUUUCUUCAUGUGCACUCUGAUGAUACCCAAAAUAGUCAUCAAACAAAUCAAUUCUUACCUUAUGAACUGUUUUUGGAGAAAGUAUGGCACAAUGGACAGGGGUACUGUGCUUAUUUCUUGGGACAAAGUCAGCAGACCAAAGGACCAUGGAGGUCUAGGGGUAUUAGAUCUCCACAUACAUAACAAGGCUCUUCUCCUCAAGUUUCUGCACAAGUUCUUCAAUAAGACUGACACACCUUGGGUGAAUAUCAUUUGGGAGAAACAUUAUCAGAACAGAUUACCUGGAGAGCAAAAGGUGGGAUCUUUCUGGUGGAGAGAUGUGCUAAAGCUUCUCCUUAUGUUCAAGCAGCAUGCCAUAUGUAAAGCAAGCAUAGGGGAUGCAGUUUAUGCCCCCGCCAGCUAUGGUUCAUGUUGA
rnacentral:rRNA from 1 species